CUACGGGAUGCAGCAGUGAGGAAUAUUGCACAAUGGGGGGAACCCUGAUGCAGCAACGCCGCGUGGAGGAUGACGCAUUUCGGUGUGUAAACUCCUUUUAUAUGUCAAGAAAAUGACGGUAGCAUAUGAAUAAGCACCGGCUAACUCCGUGCCAGCAGCCGCGGUAAUACGGAGGGUGCAAGCGUUACUCGGAAUCACUGGGCGUAAAGGACGCGUAGGCGGGUUGGAAAGUCAGGUGUGAAAUCCUACAGCUUAACUGUAGAACUGCACUUGAAACUUCUAAUCUAGAGAAUGGGAGGGGGAGAUGGAAUUAGUGGUGUAGGGGUAAAAUCCGUAGAUAUCACUAGGAAUACCUAAAGCGAAGGCGAUCUCCUGGAACAUUACUGACGCUGAGGCGUGAAAGCGUGGGGAGCAAACAGGAUUAGAUACCCCCGUAGUC
rnacentral:rRNA from 1 species